AUGUUUUUUCAUGUACCUCCUUCCUGGCUGACAUCAAAGCAAAGGAGAAGCACAUUUACUCCUCUCCAUUUUCUACUUGGGGAGAUAAAGACCUUGAAAAGAACACAGAUACAAGAGGAAGAACAACUGAACUUCCUCUCUGAGCUUUACUCCCAAACUCUAGCAAAUCAACGGGAAAUGAGAUCAGAGACAGUGGUGGGGCCAAGUCUGCUGCAAGCAGCUGAAGCUGGUCGACCCUUUCUGAGGGCGCUCCCACCAGCCUCUACACAGGUACCAAACACUGACAUUAGAAUUAGGACAAGGCCGGGCUGGGGGUGGGGGGUCAGGUGGGGGUAGGGAAUGGGCUCAGGGGGGAGGGGAGGUUCCUGUUGCAGCUCAGCAGUAAUGAACCUAACUAGUAUCCAUGAGGAUUUGGGCUCAAUCCCUGGCCCCUCUCAGUGGGUUAAGUAUCUGGUAUUGCUGUGAUGCGGCUUGGAUCCCAAGUUGCUGUGUCUGUGAUGUGCUGUGCCUGGGAACUUCCAUAUGCUGCAGGUACCGCCCUUAAAAAAACAAAAAAAAGUUAGGAUGGGGGUGUGGCUUGUAGCCGUCUUGGGAACUCAAAACUGACAUCAUUUUGUGCAGCAAUAAAAUCCUGAGGUCGGGCCUGGGGAGAAGCCCA
rnacentral:lncRNA from 1 species